AGCAAAUUCACCGGGGAUGAACAACUUUUGUCACGUGACCGCAAAAGUCAACGCCGGUUGCAGAAACAGAUUGUAAUCUUGUACAUUAAGAAACAUGACGCUCGUGUGUGAAAUCUGUGGAAAGACAUUUAAAUCGAAGUGGGGGUUAAAGCUUCAUGAUAAGCGCCACAGAGGGACUGGACGAUUCGCCUGUUGUGGAAAAACAUUUUACACAAAACAGGCGUUCAACAGACACAGAUGCAGCAUUCAUGGUGUUGAAAAGCCGUUCCCCUGUGAACAAUGCGGCAAAAAGUUUUCAACCAAAGAUGACCUGAAUCGUCACGUCCGGAGGGAGGUUGCUGCAAAGCAAUUUACCUGCUCAAUUUGCAAUGCAACGCUCCGGGAGAAAAUUGACCUUCAGGCCCACCUUGCCACCCACAAUGGAGAGAAAAACUUUGCUUGUGAUAUGUGUGAAAAGAGGUACAGGCACCGCAGUAGUCUAUCAAAGCACAGAUCUGCAAAGCACCGGGCCUAGUCAUCUGUUGCAUGACGAUGAUAAGACCAAGAAUUAUUUUUAAUUCUUACCAAUGUGCCGUGGUUAUUUUCUUAAUUAUUGAAAAUACAGACUGUCAUACAAUAAUAUAUAGUAUUACGCGUGUUUUUGCGUCUUAAACAUUGUGUUACAUAUCGUUUAUCUUGUGUUGUUUUGUUUGAUAUUCCUGUUUUUAAUAAGAUUAUUGUUGUAAUAUUUAUCAUUCUAAUUUAAAAUGAUUAUGAUAAUGGUUGAUCUCAUACAAAUUAUUGUGUUCAUUAUUGCUCAUCUGUGAUUACUGUUGAUCUCAGCCCAUGAAUUGUGAUUUAUAUUGAUUAUCUGUGAUUAUUGUUGAUCUUAUCAAAAUAAUUGUAAUUUAUGUUGAUUAUCUGUGAAUUUUUUAUCUUAACCUAUUAAUAGUGAUUUAUAUUAUCUGUGAUUAUUGUUGAUCUUAUCAAAAUCAUUGUGAUUUAUGUUGAUUAUCUGUGAUUAUUGUUGAUCUCAACCGAUUAAUUGUGAUUUAUAUAACCAGUGAUUAUUGUUGAUCUUUUCAAAAUCAUUGUAAUUUAUGUUGAUUAUCUGUGAUUAUUGUUGAUCUUUUCGAAAUCAUUGUAAUUUAUGUUGAUUAUCUGUGAUUAUUGUUGAUCUUUUCAAAAUCAUUGUAAUCUAUGUUGAUUAUCUGUGAUUAUUGUUGAUCUUUUCAAAAUCAUUGUAAUUAAUGUUGAUUAUCUGUGAUUAUUGUUGAUCUUUUCAAAAUCAUUGUAAUUUAUGUUGAUUAUCUGUGAUUAUUGUUGAUCUCACCAUAUCCGCUGGAAUAUACAUUUGAGCCGCGCUCUGUGAAAAGGGGGUUUAAUGCAUGUGCGUAAAGUGCAGUCCACAUAGGCUAAUCAGGGACGGCACUUUCCGCUUUUAUGAUAUGUUUUGUUAAAAGAAAGUCUCUUCUGAGCAAAAAUCGAGUUUAUCGGAAAGGUUUGUCCCUAAUUAGCCUGUACGGAAUGCACAGGCUAAUAUGUGACGACACCUUACGCACAUGCAUUAAACCCCCUUUUCACAGAGCGAGACUCAUUUGUAAUCUGCGAUUUUUGUUUAUCUAUUUCGAAUCAAUAUGAUUAAAAUAUAUUUUUGGUGAGUUAGCUUUUUGUCUCAUUGGAAUCAUUGUGCGAAUUGUCAACAAUUACAUGUAAAUCUGUAAUUCCUUCUCAAGUUGCACAUAGGCCAGUUUAAUGUUUUGCGUAUAAGCUAUUAUUGCGAUACGGGAUAUUCUUUGCAGCAAUAAAACAAUUAAUCUGCA